CGACGUGAGGAACCUGCCUUGGGGAGGGGGAUAACACUCCGAAAGGAGUGCUAAUACCGCAUGAUGCAGUUGGGUCGCAUGGCUCUGACUGCCAAAGAUUUAUCGCUCUGAGAUGGCCUCGCGUCUGAUUAGCUAGUAGGCGGGGUAACGGCCCACCUAGGCGACGAUCAGUAGCCGGACUGAGAGGUUGACCGGCCACAUUGGGACUGAGACACGGCCCAG
rnacentral:rRNA from 1 species